rnacentral:lncRNA from 1 species
AUCUCUUACUUGGAGGAGGUUAUCCUUUCCUCCCUAUAGAGAUCGAUGUUUCUUCAAGCGUUUGACAUAUCAUGUGGACAAUUGUUCUAUCAUUUGUAUGAAAUUUUUGAUGGCACUGUUAUCAUUAGUCUCACAAAUUAAAAAGAAAAAGGCAUUUUCUAUCCACAAGGAUUCGACAAGCAACGCAAAUUCUUAUUAAAGAAAUGUCGGAA